GCGGCGACCUGGGCACGGCAGGAGGUUGCGCGGCCGCGCCCCCAGUCCAGGCCCGCGGUUCCCCGCGGUUCCCCGCGGUUCCCCGCGCUCCGGGCUCGCGGCAGCGGCUCUGCAGGCCUCGGCCCCCGGCGCGCAGAUCUGAUGAAGCCCAUCGAGUGUUCUCCGAGUGCUGAAGCAGCCUUGCACCCUGGCGAUUAACCCCACUGGGUCGUGAUCUGAUGAAGCCCAUCGAGUGUUCUCCGAGUGCUGAAGCAGCCUUGCACCCUGGCGAUUAACCCCACUGGGUCGUGAUCUGAUGAAGCCCAUCGAGUGUUCUCCGAGUGCUGAAGCAGCCUUGCACCCUGGCGAUUAACCCCACUGGGUCGUGAUCUGAUGAAGCCCAUCGAGUGUUCUCCGAGUGCUGAAGCAGCCUUGCACCCUGGCGAUUAACCCCACUGGGUCGUGAUCUGAUGAAGCCCAUCGAGUGUUCUCCGAGUGCUGAAGCAGCCUUGCACCCUGGCGAUUAACCCCACUGGGUCGUGAUCUGAUCAGUCACAUGGAGUGUUUGACAAGUGUUGAACCAGCCUUGCAUCCCGGGGAUAAAUGCUACCUGGUCACGUCUGCAGAACAGGAAUGCUGCCCCUCUCUACUGCAUUAGCAGGAAAAGAUCUCUGAGGGCAAUUUAGAAGACCUGGUGUCUGUUUCCACGAUUGCCCUUUCCAAGCUGGGUCACCUUUCCUCACUCCAUGGGCCUUUGUUCUGUUAUGUGUGCUUGAAUAGCAGACAGUCGUCAACCAGUCUCAUACAGUAUAAUCUAGUUGGAAAUCUCUGAGCGCAGGACUUACACGACAGCCACCCCGCCCCGGAUCCCCUGCCCUGCGUGCCCGCUCUUCGUGGUGCUCGCCACCUUGUGACAUGUUACAGAUUUAUUCAGUCAUUGUCUCUUCCACCUGCGGAGGAAGACCAAACCCUGUGGAUGGGGGCAGUCGCCUGAUGUGUUUUGCCCAUCGCUGUGUCAUCAGCGCCUGCGUCAGAGCGUGUCGGAAACCACAUGAAGCUCGUGGUGAAUGUUUCUGGAAUGAGUUAGUUAUUAGGAUCCAAACUGUAUUUCUGGGUAAUAAUUUAGAGAUCACUAAAAACUAAGUUCCUAUGAUAAGGGUUUUAGGUGUCUGCCAGUCGGCUUUAUGACGUUCUUUGGUUUGCAUGAAAAACUCUAUUCCUCCUACAGGAUAGAAUUCGAAGAGCAAUUUAUAUUUAGAAGAUGUUUAUAAUAAGCCUUAUGGGCCCAGUUUAUCGCAGUGAUCUCUUGUUAUUCAAAUGCUAUAUUUUCUCUAAUGUAGAUUGUACGGUUGUGCCUGGGAGGCAUGUGCACUGCAUGAAAGUAGGAUCUGUGAGGCCCUCUAGCCAUCAUCACACCAUAUGGCUAUUCCUGUAGAUACUUACUUAAACCACAAAAUAUUUGCACAUUGCUUUCUUUCUUAGCAAGUAGAAAAUAUACAUGAUAAUAAAAAUGUUACCUGAUAGAAGAAAUUUAAUUUAUUCAUUUCACAGUUAAGAGUCUGACAAUGAGAGAUCUGUCCUAAAUGGCUACCUACUUAUGCAUCAUGCUUAUUAUAUGUGUCAGAUUGAAAUAUUUCCCAUAAUCCUGGUAAGUUGAGGAGUAAGGCCCACCUGAGCGCGACCCGAACGCAAGGGCACGAGGCUUUGCACGAGGCGUGGUGCAUGGCAAUUGGUCUUUUCUGUUUAUAGUCACUCCGGGGUGGGGGCCGGGUCUGGAGUGAGAUCAUCUCCUGUCCUGCCUUCCGUGCUGUUUGUAGGUGGACACCUCCCACAUUUGUCAUUCUCCCACUGAAUUGUAUAUCCAACUACUCAUGUAACCUCUCCUCCAGUUUCUGCAAAUAAACAUGAUCUCACCACACAUACUCCUCUGUAUUCUUCACCCCUGUGACUUGACUGCAAGGCUGUCUUCCCAGUUACUCAGCCUCCAGACCUCAGAGUUGUCUUUAAUUCCUUGC